rnacentral:tRNA from 1 species
GCCGGUUUGGCUCAGUGGAUAGAGUGUCAGCCUGAGGACUGAAAAGUCCCUGGUUCGAUUCCAGUGAAGGGCA